UGGAUUGGAAGGUUGCUGUCAGCAGGGGUGCAAUAAAAUUGUAUGUAUUUACUUGUUACGCUUCCGAUGACCUGGGAUGCGCCUUGAGAUUCACACAACCUGCCUUGACCGGCGGGGUUAUUGGCCGAACCAAACAGGGGCGAAGAAAUGCCAGGCGGGAAAAUGCCACCAUGAGCGAAAGUCUGCUCUGCGAGGACCACCCUUCCACUUGUCCGCUCUUGUCCUCCGCGAAGCCGGAAGUGAAGCGGACAAUGCGCCCAAGGGACGGGGCGGGCUUGCAGCCCCCGGGCGGACUCCUGGCUUCGUCGGUAGCGGCGACCGCAACGCCCUAAAUCCAUCCUGCAAUCGCUCAGCCGCCGCCGCCGCCAUGCUCUAGAAAGCAGAGGCCGGCCGAGCUCCGUCCCCGCCGGGCUCUUCCCAGUAGAGUCGGAGGGCCAGGCGCCCGCUCACCCCCAACCCCGCAAGGCUCCGGCUUCGAGAGCAUCGGGCGGCCGGGCGCGCGCGCUCGCAGCCGACGGGAGAGUGAGGCGGAAAAGGAGGCGGGGUCGAGGGAGCCUCAGCGCGCAUGCCCGCCAGCCGCCCGCCCGGGCUGCACCAACCGCGGGCUCCGUGUCCGAACCUCCGCAGAAAGAGCGCGGCGCCAGAGCUGAAGAGCGCCGGGCAGGCGGCGGCCCCCCCCGGCUGGGACCACACUAGGACAGCCGCGGGGCGUCCGGAGGAGGGCCAGGCGGGCCGCGCCGCGCCUCUUCAGGAGAGCCGCCGGGUUUGCGCCACGCAAAGUCCCGCUCCUGCUUUGGUUCGGGCAACGGAGCAGUGCGCGUCCUCGGCCCUGAUGCAUGGGCGGCCCACGCGCCUGCCCGCCCGGUCCGCCCGAAGGUGUCAUCGGCGAUGUCGCACCUCUGCAAACUCCCGGGACUCGGCCGUGAGACUGGGGAGCGCGCGGUGGAGCAGCUGAGCGCCAGGUCUCCGGACCGCGCGUCGGGCAUGCAACCGGGCGGCGGCCAUCCCUUAGCUCCCCCAACAGGCGCCAUGGCCAUGGCUAUGGAUGGCGGCGGCGGCGGCGGGGGGGAAGAAUACCACUCCCAUGCGCAUCACCGGACCUCCGCGGAGCCCCCGCUGACCGGACCGUUGCACCCCGCGCUGACUGAGAGCUGCCAGAAUCCCGCCGGGCUGACCGGGAGCAGCAGCUACACUACUCUGACGUCCCUGCAACCGCCCCUGCCGCCCAUCUCCACCGUUUCGCCCAAGUUUCCUCACCAUCCCCAGUCACUCCCGCACGCGCAUCACAGGUUGGCGGGCAACUUUACUCUCUUGUCCGACAAUCUUUACCCCUCACCCUACCCCAAAGAAGUGGCCGGCCUGGGACAGACUCUCUCUCCAUUGGGCGGGCUCCACAUCACCCAGCAAGCCCUGUCGUAUUAUGCCGACGCCGGAGUCGCCAUGCCGGCCGAGAAAAUGCUUACCCCCAGCGGCUUCGAAGCGCAGCACCCACCCCUCUUAGCCCGGCCGGGCGACCAGCAUCUCUCCCCGACUACAGCCUGCCUGGUUCCGCUUGGCGGGAUCCCCCGCCAACCUCACACCCAUCUGAGCGCCCGAGGGCACGGGCAGAUCCAGGCGUCCUCCAGGGAACCUAAGCCCGCCGCCGCCGCCGCCGCCGCGCAAGGGAGCGCCGGGAAUCACUCAGGGCGGCUGGAAGAGAUCAACACCAAGGACGUGGCCCAACGGAUAACCACCGAGCUGAAGCGCUACAGCAUCCCGCAAGCCAUCUUCGCCCAGAGGGUCCUCGGCCGCUCGCAGGGAACGCUUUCCGACCUGUUGAGGAAUCCUAAGCCCUGGAGCAAGCUCAAAUCUGGGCGGGAGACCUUUCGCAGGAUGUGGAAGUGGCUGCAGGAGCCCGAAUUCCAGCGGAUGUCUGCACUCCGAUUGGCAGCUUGUAAACAGAAGGAGCAAGAUCAAGGGAAAGACCGAGGAAAUGCACUCAAAAAACCCAGACUGGUCUUUACUGAUGUUCAGCGCCGAACUCUCUAUGCAAUAUUCAAGGAAAAUAAACGUCCUUCCAAAGAAUUACAGAUCACCAUUUCCCAUCAGUUGGGGCUGGAACUGAGCACCGUUAGCAAUUUCUUCAUGAACGCACGACGGAGGAGCCUAGAUAAAUGGCAAGUUGAGGGCUGUGCCGACUCAGGCAGUUUGUCCUCUUCUUCUAGCACUUGUACCAAAGCUUAAAGGAAGGGCUGCAAAUGUAGUCUUGGUGGAAUAGCUUUGAAACUACCCAGAGUUGAAGAGUUGGGUAGUAUAUACAUUUAAUAUAUUAUUAUUAUUAUUAUUAUUAUUAUUAUUAUUAUUAUUAUUAUUAUUAUUAUUAUUACUAAAACAAAUGAGCAGGACCUCAAGAAAGCAGGUUUAUACUUAACAUUAUUUAUGUCCAAAGAAGCCAAAGACUUAUUUCAUCUGAUUUUGAAUUCGCUCUAAAUAAAAAAAAUUCAUAGAAUGGCUUGCAAAACAAAAUUGUUAGAAGGAAAUUGAGGGAGAAAACUGAUUUUUACAUCUUCCCUUUAUUCUUGCACUUAACCCACACUCUUUAAUCAUCUAAUGUUGGAGCAUGGUGAUAAUUUGUUAUCAAAAUAGAUGUCCUCAGAUAUAGCUCCUCGUGUCCAUGGCAAAACCACAGAGAUGAACAUUUAGUGGAUGCAACAGUAGCAAGGAAGUUUUCCAGGGCAAUCAGAAGCCUAAAGCCGCAAGUUAAUAUUCAUUUUAACAAUAUGGUUCAUGUUGAUGGUCUGCCAAUAUACAGUAGACUCUGAAUACAAGUUGAAAGAAGGUAAAGACAUUUUGACUUUUAUGCAAACCAGUUACAUUCUCUUUGUUUGCUUAGAAAUAGAGCUAUACCUUUCCCCAAACCAUGGUUUCCUUGCAAAAGGAUCAAAAUAGUACCAAAGAAAACAUUUAAUAUACUGUUGGUAUUUUGUUGUGAUUAUUUUACUACUUCAAAGCUAUUUUUACAUUCAAUUCUAUGCAGAGUUUAGGGAUAAACUAAUUAAUAGUAACAACACACAAGACAGACUGUUAUUCUACCGGUAGCUGUGAAAAUAUUUUUCAUUGAUUUCCAGAAGCGAUCAAAGCAUAUAGCUCACACCCACGUGAAACUCAGGUUGUCUUUCUGCAUCUCAGAAAUCUUUUUUAUAUUUAAUCUUCUGCAUAAGUGUACUUUAGUCCAACUUUCAAAUGCUGUCUAUUUUAGAUGCAUGCCUGCAUUUAUAUAGUUUAUGCCCAUAAUAUUGGAAUGAUUUAAAAUGCCAAAUCCUGGAACGCAGGCUUAGCUCUGAGCAGAAAACUGACAAGAAGUGGUCUAGAGCCCAUCCAAGAUACUCAUUAUUUUAUUAUUAUUUGUUUGUUUGUUGUACUAUUAAUCUCCCCAGUAAUUGAAAGUAGAUAUGAUUAUGAUUUGGAAGUAUCCAUGCAAUAUCUACAAAAAUAAAGAAAAUGAAUAUCACUUCCCAUGAGAAGACCUCAUAAACAAGUCUUCAGCAUGGCCUCUUGGACAACAACCCAGCAACAAGGGAAUAUCAGAUCUCCAGCCAAGUGGUCCAAGAACACUGCAGUUUAGUCUGUCACCAUGAAGGCUUCACGCUCAGCAUUUUGAAUAUUCUGAUGCCUUACCUUCAAAGUCAGCUGCAGUACACAUCAUUUCAAGGCCAUUUCUUUCUUAUGCAAGAACUCAUCUUUUCAGCAACUACAGAAUAGAAAGCGUAUUCUGA